GUCAUGAAUUCUUCCCCUUAAAAUCCGUUCUGGGCAGUCUGAAAGAGAAAGAGGCUUUGAUGAAGACGACUUGGUGGUUGCUUUUUCUGGGGUGCUGCUGUGGGCUCUCUACUCUGCUUCCCAGCCACUCCUUUGCCACCUUCCUUUUUCUCCUUCCCCAUCUCCCCAGGCAGUUUUAUGGAGAAAGUCUAGAACUGAGUGAGUCGGUCGGUCACUGUGUAAUAUAGUAGGUACAGUCAUUAACUAAACCUCUGUGCUCCUUAAUGUGGUGAAACCUGAAUGUGGAGAAGCCAGAGAGCCUUCAUGUCUUGGGAAAUUGAACUUUAGAAGCCUACCUUGGUUUCUUUUAUUUUUAUUAAAAUAGUUUUGGUUAUGGAGAUCAACAUUUCACUCUUGAACAGAGAAUAUAGACUGAUUUAAUUUUCUAUUCUCUAUUUUGCAGGUGAUAAAUAAAGUGGACCAUACCCCCUCUCCUAUGGUGGAGAAAGCAAACAACAGUGUAGGAGACGUUCUAAGAAGUGAGAUAACUCAGAGUCCGAUUUGUCGUGCUGCACCUCUGGAAAUACUGCCUGGGAGCACAGGCGCUGAAGGCUUGCCCACAGCUGGCCCUUUCACACUAGAAGAUGAUGUUUUUGUGGACAGUGAGGAGCCAUCUACUCCUACUGUUGUCCCUGCUAAUACUGGUUUGCCUGUUGCUAGUGUUUCAGACUAUAGGUUAUUGUG
rnacentral:lncRNA from 1 species